UACGGAGGGUGCGAGCGUUUAUCGGAAUUACUGGGCGUAAAGCGUGCGUAGGCGGAUGCUUGAGUCGGAUGUGAAAGCCCCGGGCUCAACCUGGGAAUGGCAUUCGAUACUGGGCAUCUAGAGUGUGGUAGAGGGGGGUGGAAUUCCUGGUGUAGCGGUGAAAUGCGUAGAUAUCAGGAGGAAUUUCGAAGGAUACGGCGACCACCGAGACCAACACUGACGCUGAGGUACGAAAGCGUGGGUAGCAAACAGG
rnacentral:rRNA from 1 species